AGGUACCGUCACAUAAGCACCCUAUUUGAAUGCCUAUCAUUCGUCCCUACUUACAGGGGUUUACGCUCCAUAGAACUUCAUCCCCCACGCGGCGUUGCUGCGUCAGAGUUUCCUCCAUUGCGCAAUAUUCCUC
rnacentral:rRNA from 1 species